rnacentral:rRNA from 1 species
AUUGAACGCUGGCGGCAGGCCUAACACAUGCAAGUCGAACGAGUGGCGGACGGGUGAGUAAUGUCUGGGAAACUGCCCGAUGGAGGGGGAUAACUACUGGAAACGGUAGCUAAUACCGCAUACCAUCGGAUGUGCCCAGAUGGGAUUAGCUAGUAGGUGGGGUAACGGCUCACCUAGGCGACGAUCCCUAGCUGGUCUGAGAGGAUGACCAGCAACACUGGAACGGAGACACGGUCCAGACUCCUACGGGAGGCAGCAGUGGGACAUAGUGCACAAUGGGGGCAAGCCUGAUGCAGCAAUGGCGCGUGAAAGAAGAAGGCCGUCGGAGUGGAAAAUAAUGUUAGCGAGGAGGCGUUACUCGCAGAAGAAGCAGCGGCUAACGCAGCGACAGCAGCCGCGGUAAUUC